rnacentral:RNase_P_RNA from 1 species
GGGGAGGAAAGUCCGGGCUCCAGAGGGCAGGGCGCCAGGUAACACCUGGGCGGAGCGAUCCGACGGAAAGUGCAACAGAAACAUACCGCCUCGACUUGGUCGGGGUAAGGGUGAAAUGGUGGGGUAAGAGCCCACCGCGAGUUUUGUAAAAAACUUGGCAGGGUAAACCCUUCUUGGUGAAAUCUCAAGUAAGCAGUCGUUACGAGGCAAUUCCCCCAGACUGCGGGUAGAGAGAAAAGAUCUUUGAGGAGACUCAAAUUGACAAGAUAAAUGGCUAUCUCCAGCCCUUGCAUGCAAAGGCUGGAACAGAAUCCGGCUUAUAGACAGGACAAUUUU